UUUCCAGACUCCUACGGGAGGCAGCAGUGGGGGAUAUUGCACAAUGGGGGGAACCCUGAUGCAGCGACGCCGCGUGGGUGAAGGAGCGUUUCGGCGCGUAAAGCCCUAUCGGCAGGGAAGAAGGAGGACGGUACCUGACUAAGAAGCCCCGGCUAACUACGUGCCAGCAGCCGCGGUAAUACGUAGGGGGCAAGCGUUAUCCGGAUUUACUGGGUGUAAAGGGAGCGUAGACGGCGGCGCAAGUCUGGAGUGAAAGCCCGGGGCCCAACCCCGGGACUGCUCUGGAAACUGCGUCGCUGGAGUACGGGAGGGGCAGGCGGAAUUCCUGGUGUAGCGGUGAAAUGCGUAGAUAUCAGGAGGAACACCGGCGGCGAAGGCGGCCUGCUGGACCGUGACUGACGUUGAGGCUCGAGAGCGUGGGGAGCAAACAGGAUUAGAUACCCGUGUA
rnacentral:rRNA from 1 species